GAUGAACGCUGGCGGCGUGCCUAAUACAUGCAAGUCGAGCGAACAGACGAGGAGCUUGCUCCUCUGACGUUAGCGGCGGACGGGUGAGUAACACGUGGAUAACCUAUCUAUAAGACUGGGAUAACUUCGGGAAACCGGAGCUAAUACCGGAUAAUAUAUUGAACCGCAUGGUUCAAUAGUGAAAGACGGUUUUGCUGUCACUUAUAGAUGGAUCCGCGCCGCAUUAGCUAGUUGGUAAGGUAACGGCUUACCAAGGCAACGAUGCGUAGCCGACCUGAGAGGGUGAUCGGCCACACUGGAACUGAGACACGGUCCAGACUCCUACGGGAGGCAGCAGUAGGGAAUCUUCCGCAAUGGGCGAAAGCCUGACGGAGCAACGCCGCGUGAGUGAUGAAGGUCUUCGGAUCGUAAAACUCUGUUAUUAGGGAAGAACAAAUGUGUAAGUAACUAUGCACGUCUUGACGGUACCUAAUCAGAAAGCCACGGCUAACUACG
rnacentral:rRNA from 1 species